AACGAACGCUGGCGGCAUGCCUAACACAUGCAAGUCGAACGAGACCUUCGGGUCUAGUGGCGCACGGGUGCGUAACGCGUGGGAACCUGCCCCUCGGUUCGGAAUAACACAGAGAAAUUUGUGCUAAUACCGGAUGAUGACUUCGGUCCAAAGAUUUAUCGCCGAGGGAUGGGCCCGCGUAGGAUUAGCUUGUUGGUGGGGUAAUGGCCUACCAAGGCGACGAUCCUUAGCUGGUCUGAGAGGAUGAUCAGCCACACUGGGACUGAGACACGGCCCAGACUCCUACGGGAGGCAGCAGUGGGGAAUAUUGGACAAUGGGCGAAAGCCUGAUCCAGCAAUGCCGCGUGAGUGAUGAAGGCCUUAGGGUUGUAAAGCUCUUUUACCCGGGAUGAUAAUGACAGUACCGGGAGAAUAAGCUCCGGCUAACUCCGUGCCAGCCGCCGCCGUAACAC
rnacentral:rRNA from 1 species